GCUAGUGUUCGGAGAUCGAACAGUGGUGGCGACGCUAGGGCUAAAGCGUGAAAGUUGGAAAGGCAAAUAGCAAGGGUAAAAUGGAUGGGAUAACUUCCUCUAUUAUUUAUCACAGCUGUACGGUAACAAUGGCGCAAAUGAAGAGAUUUUUAUUUAAAGGAUCCCAGAAUUUCAGACACCUGAUUGGCUAUUAUCUUUAUUUUAGGAGGAGAUAAGAUCUCCUUCUAGAGAUGGUCACGUUGAUCAAAGGUUGACCCUUAUACCUACCAAACUAGUUGUCAAAAGGCUUAGGGGCUGUGUGCCACAUGUCCAUCGACAAAAAAGUUUUUUCUCCGGGUUUUAAGGGGAAAGUGAUGCAAAUUACAUAUUGACUCUUAGCCUGAUUCUUCAAUUCAAC
rnacentral:lncRNA from 1 species